UAAGGAAUAUUGGUCAAUGGAGGCAACUCUGAACCAGCCAUGCCGCGUGCAGGAAGACGGACCUAUGGUUUGUAAACUGCUUUUGUACGAGAGAAAACCCUACUACGUGUAGUAGGCUGAUAGUAUCGUAAGAAUAAGGAUCGGCUAACUUCGUGCCAGCAGCCGCGGUAAUACGAAGGAUCCAAGCGUUAUCCGGAUUCAUUGGGUUUAAAGGGAGCGUAGGCGGUUUAAUAAGUCAGUGGUGAAAUCCCUCAGCUCAACUGAGGACCUGCCAUUGAUACUGUCGAACUAGAGUACAGAUGACGUUGGCGGAAUGUGUCAUGUAGCGGUGAAAUGCAUAGAUAUGACACAGAACACCGAUUGCGAAGGCAGCUGACGAAACUGAAACUGACGCUGAGGCUCGAAAGUGCGGGGAUCAAACAGGAUUAGAUACCCCCGUAGUCC
rnacentral:rRNA from 1 species